AUUGAACGCUGGCGGCAGGCCUAACACAUGCAAGUCGAACGAGUGGCGGACGGGUGAGUAAUGUCUGGGAAACUGCCCGAUGGAGGGGGAUAACUACUGGAAACGGUAGCUAAUACCGCAUACCAUCGGAUGUGCCCAGAUGGGAUUAGCUAGUAGGUGGGGUAAAGGCUCACCUAGGCGACGAUCCCUAGCUGGUCUGAGAGGAUGACCAGCCACACUGGAACUGAGACACGGUCCAGACUCCUACGGUAGGCAUCAGUGGGGAAGAUUGCACAAUGGGCGCAAGCCUGAUGCAGCCAUGCCGCGUGUAUGAAGAAGGCCUUCGGGUUGUAAAGCACUUUCAGCGGGGAGGCGUUACCCGCAGAAGAAGCACCGGCUAACUCCGUGCCAGCAGCCGCGGUAAUAC
rnacentral:rRNA from 1 species